ACAAGGACGAGUACAAAAAUGUCUACAACAACUCGACAUAAGGCCAAAACCAUAACCACUACGACUCCAACUACGCGGUUUACUUCUUUUAGAACGACUAAUACUACUCCAAAAACGGCAUCUUCAUCACGAACAAGGACUAUAACAACUCCCAUUACGAUAUCAACAACUCAAACCAAGACUGGUACGACUCAAAUAACGAAUAACUCAACCUCAAAUACGACUUCUACAACCCAAAGAAUUUAAACCACGACUCAGAAUAUUCCAAGAACGACUUCUUCGACUCAGACCAACGCUAGUGCGACUCCAAGAACGAUUACGAACACUCAAACUCAAAUUCAAAAUACUACGACUCCUUCAAAAACUGCGACUACACAAUCCACGACAACAAAUACUGCAAGGACAACAACUGCGACCUCAACAACGACUUCCGUGACUCCAGCUACAACUAAUUCGACUCCAUCUAAGACGACUACGAAUCGUAGUACAACAUCAACAACUACUGCAACUCCAACCACGAUUCCAGGCUGUCCCGCGGGUAAUUUUAAGUUUAAAAACGGCGACUGAAUACUCCAAUAACAAGUGUGCGACUCCAAUCCCGACUGCUUACCUGACAAUGAGGACGAGCUCAAUUUUCCCGGUGCACCCUGUUCAGAGGGCUUCAAACGAUGCGCUGAUGGCAUUUGUUACCCCGCCGACAAAAUAUGCGACAGAGUGUUGUAAGGUUCCAGCUGUGACGAUAAGCAAAAUGUUUGUAAAAGUGAAUUUGUGAUUAGUUGUUUGCAACUUACUUAAACAUAUGUGUAUGGUUGAUGUCCACUCAUAGAAUCAAUCAUGUUCAACGUUAUGAAUAAAAGGUUUUUAUUUUCUUGACCUGUUACAAAAAUACGCUUGCUAUAAUCAUACAUUAAAUAAUGGAAAAUAAAACGUAGCAAAUAACGAUUAAGAAGCA